rnacentral:lncRNA from 1 species
CAGGCAUAAGACUACUUCUGUUGAUGAUGAAGUUUUUCCAUGAAUUGUUCAGACCUUUACUCAGGUGCACCACUGCUGUCCUUGAAGACCUCACAGAGGGCUGUCCUCCUACUUCUGAAGGAAGAAGCUCACAUAAGGUGCCUUCGUCCAUCCACUGCAUCCCUCCAAAGCCCUCUUGAGGGCAUGUUUUAUGCACACCAGGUCUGCAGAAACAUGAAGUUUGAUCCUUUAUGAGUGGAAAUGUUUGUUGUGGAUUCUUAAAGAGCAGCAGAGUUCCUGUCAGCUUGACCACUGGAAGAGCUCUCAAAUUCCCUGGAAUGAUGCCCAUUUCUCCUGGAAUUAGGGCUUGUUUACUUCACCCUUACCUGUUCACCCUUACCCGGACCACCUCUGGGCUAAAGCCAGCUGUCCUCUAGCUCUCUCUAGAUACUUCUGUCUUGGCUCCACAUCCAGCACUUUUUUGGCUUCAGAUCAAAAUUUCUCUCCAAGAAGCCUAAGUAAUCUUGACAUGUUCACUGUCCCCUCUUUACCGCCCUUGGUCUCUGAAUUGGCAUGCUUUUAUUUAUCAAGUCCCUGUACAUAGUACACAGCUCGGUUCCCCUGAGUCUGAUGUCUUCUUUCUGUUAGUCCAUUCUAAAUUCUUGACAUCUUUUUC